rnacentral:rRNA from 1 species
AGUUGGUGAGGUAAUGGCUCACCAAGGCGACGAUCCGUAGCUGGUCUGAGAGGAUGAUCAGCCACACUGGAACUGAGACACGGUCCAGACUCCUACGGGAGGCAGCAGUGGGGAAUAUUGGACAAUGGGCGCAAGCCUGAUCCAGCCAUACCGCGUGGGUGAAGAAGGCCUUCGGGUUGUAAAGCCCUUUUGUUGGGAAAGAAAAGCGAUCGGUUAAUACCCGGUUGUUCUGACGGUACCCAAAGAAUAAGCACCGGCUAACUUCGUGCCAGCAGCCGCGGUAAUACGAAGGGUGCAAGCGUUACUCGGAAUUACUGGGCGUAAAGCGUGCGUAGGUGGUGGUUUAAGUCCGUUGUGAAAGCCCUGGGCUCAACCUGGGAAUUGCAGUGGAUACU